GACGAACGCUGGCGGCGUGCUUAACACAUGCAAGUCGAACGAUGAAGCCGGAGCUUGCUCUGGUGAAUUAGUGGCGAACGGGUGAGUAACACGUGAGUAACCUGCCCUUGACUCUGGGAUAACUGCGGGAAACUGUAGCUAAUACCGGAUACGACCCUCGGAGGCAUCUCCUGGGGGUGGAAAGAAUUUCGGUCAAGGAUGGACUCGCGUCCUAUCAGCUAGUUGGUGAGGUAACGGCUCACCAAGGCGACGACGGGUAGCCGGCCUGAGAGGGUGACCGGCCAGCCUGGGACUAAGACACGGCCCAGACUCCUGCGGGAGGCAGCAGUGGGGAAUAUUGCACCAUGGGCGCAAGCCUGGGGCAGCACCGCCGCGUGAGGGAUGACGGCCUUCGGGUUGUAAACCUCUUUUAGCAGGGAAGAAGCGAAAGUGACGGUACCUGCAGAAAAAGCACCGGCUAACUACGUGCCAGCAGCCGCCGUAA
rnacentral:rRNA from 1 species